GACGAACGUUGGCGGCGUGCUUAACACAUGCAAGUCGAACGGAAAGGCCCUGCUUUUGUGGGGUGCUCGAGUGGCGAACGGGUGAGUAACACGUGAGUAACCUGCCCUUGACUUUGGGAUAACUUCAGGAAACUGGGGCUAAUACCGGAUAGGAGCUCCUGCUGCAUGGUGGGGGUUGGAAAGUUUCGGCGGUUGGGGAUGGACUCGCGGCUUAUCAGCUUGUUGGUGGGGUAGUGGCUUACCAAGGCUUUGACGGGUAGCCGGCCUGAGAGGGUGACCGGCCACAUUGGGACUGAGAUACGGCCCAGACUCCUACGGGAGGCAGCAGUGGGGAAUAUUGCACAAUGGGCGGAAGCCUGAUGCAGCAACGCCGCGUGCGGGAUGACGGCCUUCGGGUUGUAAACCGCUUUCGCCUGUGACGAAGCGUGAGUGACGGUAAUGGGUAAAGAAGCACCGGCUAACUACGUGCCAGCAGCCGCGGUGAUACGUAGGGUGCGAGCGUUGUCCGGAUUUAUUGGGCGUAAAGGGCUCGUAGGUGGUUGAUCGCGUCGGAAGUGUAAUCUUGGGGCUUAACCCUGAGCGUGCUUUCGAUACGGGUUGACUUGAGGAAGGUAGGGGAGAAUGGAAUUCCUGGUGGAGCGGUGGAAUGCGCAGAUAUCAGGAGGAACACCAGUGGCGAAGGCGGUUCUCUGGGCCUUUCCUGACGCUGAGGAGCGAAAGCGUGGGGAGCGAACAGGCUUAGAUACCCUGGUAGUCCACGCUGUAAACGGUGGGUACUAGGUGUGGGGUCCAUUCCACGGGUUCCGUGCCGUAGCUAACGCUUUAAGUACCCCGCCUGGGGAGUACGGCCGCAAGGCUAAAACUCAAAGGAAUUGACGGGGCCCCGCACAAGCGGCGGAGCAUGCGGAUUAAUUCGAUGCAACGCGUAGAACCUUACCUGGGUUUGACAUGGAUCGGGAGUGCUCAGAGAUGGGUGUGCCUCUUUUGGGGUCGGUUCACAGGUGGUGCAUGGCUGUCGUCAGCUCGUGUCGUGAGAUGUUGGGUUAAGUCCCGCAACGAGCGCAACCCUUGUUCACUGUUGCCAGCACGUUAUGGUGGGGACUCAGUGGAGACCGCCGGGGUCAACUCGGAGGAAGGUGGGGAUGACGUCAAGUCAUCAUGCCCCUUAUGUCCAGGGCUUCACGCAUGCUACAAUGGCUGGUACAGAGAGUGGCGAGCCUGUGAGGGUGAGCGAAUCUCGGAAAGCCGGUCUCAGUUCGGAUUGGGGUCUGCAACUCGACCUCAUGAAGUCGGAGUCGCUAGUAAUCGCAGGUCAGCAACGCUGCGGUGAGUACGUUCCCGGG
rnacentral:rRNA from 1 species